GACGUAGGGUGCAAGCGUUGUCCGGAAUUAUUGGGCGUAAAGAGCUCGUAGGCGGUUUGUCGCGUCGAAUGUGAAAACCCGGGGCUCAACUCCGGGCCUGCAUUCGAUACGGGCAGACUAGAGUUCGGUAGGGGAGUCUGGAAUUCCUGGUGUAGCGGUGAAAUGCGCAGAUAUCAGGAGGAACACCGGUGGCGAAGGCGGGACUCUGGGCCGAUACUGACGCUGAGGAGCGAAAGCGUGGGGAGCGAACAGG
rnacentral:rRNA from 1 species